AAAUGAGAUGCAAAAAUAAGACAAAAUCAGGAAAGAGCUGUCAAACCCGGGAAAGAGAAAACUCUUCAGAACCUGAGUUGUUCUCAGAUAGAACCUCUGCUCUAUCCCCUUUCUCCAUCCCUGCAUGACUCAGCCGAAGAGGGAAAGUGGAAGGAGAAAGUUGACCUCUUGUCUCCUGCACUUGGCUCAACUGGAAGAAAGUCAGCAGAGAACCUAAAAGUCUACUGAGGUUUUAAUGACUUCCUCCAUCAUCUCACUUACUCUUCAGUGCUGACAUCAGUCAGACCACAGAAGAAUGGGAGUGCAUGUGCAGCCUCAGAGCUUUGACCUCAUGGACGACACAACUUCAAUUCCUGCCUCUCAAUGCAAGUCCCACUGGUUCUCAACACCUGGACUCUAGAUUCUUUUGGAAGUCAACUUUAAAAACUUACAUAGCUGUGAAACUUGAUAGUUUUUUUCCUAGAAAAUUGUGUAUUUGUAAGGAAAGAGUAUGUUUUCUAAUAUUAAGUCUGACUUCCAUUUCAGCCCUAAAUGUUCCAAAAUUUUGACGUAAUGAGCAGUCAAAGAGAUUAUAAGUCUUCAAUGAGAGGGCAUAUUCUAUGUAUGACAAUACAUAUGUAUGGAAAGAAAAAUAGUCUAGAGAUUCAUGUAGGGUCUUCUCCAUAAGUCUUUGACAAAACAUAAAUCUGUACAUGUAAAGUUAAAAACAUAUUAAGCCAAGUAAGUAAAAACUACCAGUAAUAGAAUAAAUUAAAUGUGAGAUGAAUAUUUUCAGAACUAAAAAAGAUAAAGAAUUAUUUUGAGUUGCUACUAAUCAUGAAACCCUAAAAGGCUCAUGCUUUAGUUGGGAAAGCUUGUUUCCUUAGUGUAAACCCCCAAAAGAUUUUAAAUAAACCUGAAUAUAUCAUGAUGAUCUACAAGUCACAUUAACAUCUAAUAGAGAAAAGGCCAAUAUUUCUUAAAUACAUACAGCGAAGUUUAGUUUUCAGUAACAUAAACUAAGAAUGUCUAGUAUGGAAAGAAAAAUGAAUAGACAUUUGAAGAAAGGAGAAAAGUGUAAUUACUAACCAUGAAGUAAGCAUGUCAGUAAAAAGACAUAGAAACGAGAAAUGAUGGGGUCAGAGACACAGUCUUAUAAUCUUAUGUUCAUGAAUAACCUGCAAAUGAGAUGCAGAGAAAAAUAUUAAUAAUUUUGAAGACUCUGUAAUAGAAAUAUUAAAAAUGACAUAGGAACAAACAGAACACCAACAGCUAGGAAUGUGCAUCAGUGUGAGAGCUUUUUGCUAGCAUAUACAUGCUCUGGAGUGUGUGCUAGCAAAGCAUAGCAAAGAAGCAAAACAAAGAAAAACAAUAAGAAAAAACAAGAAGGAAGCACAUCCACAAAACCCCACAGGAAACAGACAGGCAGGCAGGCAGGUAUGCAGGUGCACACCCUCCCACACACACCACCACCAUAUACAUGUGCAUGAGCACAAAUAUUCACUCACACACCCAUUCACAUACCACCAGAAGGGAGAGGAAUGGAAAAAUAUAUAAAGAAAUAAUGAACCAAAGACUUCCCUAAAUGUUAUAAGCCAAAUAACCUAGAAAGAUAAGCACUAAGAAAACCAUACAAAGGUGUGUUAUAACACAUUCAAACCAUGGUUAAGAGAAAAUAUUAAGGACAAAGAAAAAGCAAAAACUGCAUUUAUGUAUAUAAGAAUUAAAAAAGAAUGAUUGCAUGAUUCUGAUGAGAAAUGAAGCAAGCCACUGUACACCAGAGCACACUGGAAUUCUGGGAGUGCAGCAUGCACAGCUGUAUAUCCACUGAAAUGAUCACGUUUAGAUUAAAACAAAGCUUAGGAAAUUUAUUGGCAUCAGAAAUUUAUCUCAAUAAAUGUUCUAGUAAGAUCAGACUAAGGGACAAUGUUAUGGGAUGGAGUCUUAGGGACUGUAAAUACAAAGAGAAAAGUGGAAACGUGAGUGAAUACAAACAUUAAGCUUCAUCAAUCUAUCUAUCUAUCUAUCUAUCUAUCUAUCUAUCUAUCAUCUGUCUAUCCAUUCAUCCACUAUCUACUAUCUACCAUUUAUCUAUUAAUCUAUCCAUCUGUCUAUUACCUAUCUAUCUACCAUCUAUUCAUCUAUGUCUGUAUCUAUCUAUCUAUCUAUCUAUCUAUCUAUCUAUCUAUCUAUUGUGUGUAUUGUCUAUCUAUUAAGACAGGGUUUCACUAUGUAGUUCUGGCUACUCUAAAUCUAACGAUGCAGACCAGGCUGGCUUUCAACUCACAAAUAUCCACCUGCCUCCACCCCAGGUUGUGGGACUAAAGAUGUUCACCCCCCACACUUGGCCAAGCUUUUCAUCUUUAAUUAUUAAAAAAUAUUCAACCAUUCAAACAUAACAGUAAAGUUUUAUGAGUUUUACUACAUUCUGAGGAGCAAAAUGUAAGUAUAAGUCAAAAUAAAAAUGAUAGCAAUCACACAG
ensembl:lincRNA